rnacentral:rRNA from 1 species
CAAUAGCGUAUAUUAAGGUUGUUGCGGUUAAAAAGCUCGUAGUUGGAUUUCUGCCGAGGACGACCGGUCUGCCCACUGGGUGUGUAUCUGGCUCGGCCUGGGCAUCUUCUUGGAGAACGUAUCUGCACUUGACUGUGUGGUGCGGUAUCCAGGACUUUUACUUUGAGGAAAUUAGAGUGUUUCAAGCAGGCACACGCCUUGAAUACAUUAGCAUGGAAUAAUAAGAUAGGACCUCGGUUCUAUUUUGUUGGUUUCUAGAACUGUGGUAAUGAUUAAUAGGGAUAGUUGGGGGCAUUCGUAUUUAACUGUCAGAGGUGAAAUUCUUGGAUUUGUUAAAGACGGACUACUGCGAAGGCAUUUGCCAAGGAUGUUUUCAUUGA